CAAGGUUCUAUGUAGAUGAAAAUUAGCUCAAAAGUGUUUUGUGCAUUUUCGUACAGGUGAAUUACUCCCAGAGCCUCAACUCGCAUCCCCUCCAGCCCUGGCUCCUUGUUCGGGCUGAUGGAGUAGUGGAGCUGGCGCAUUGUACAUGCAUGGCUGGACUUGGUGAGUCCUGCUCGCACAUUGCAGCUGUGCUGUUCUACCUAGAAGCUGUUGUAAAGCAGCGAGAUGGCACGGCCUGCACUGACGUAGCCAACAGCUGGCGGCCCGUUUAUGUCAAGAAUGUGGCCUUCUGCCCAAUUGCCGAGAUUAACUUUUCGUCUGCAACUGCAAAGAAGCAACGCCUUGAUGCCGGUGAAGCGCAAACAGUUAGAAAGUCGAGAAAGAAUAUCCCCAAACCUACUAAAGAGGAAGUGGACAAGUUCUUCGAACAACUACAUGCAUCAGGUGCGCAAUUGGCUAUCCUCUCCAUCACUAAGGGAUACGCCCAUGACUACAUCCCGACUGUGGCAAAGUACCCAACAGCGCUUCUUGGCGACCUCUACAAGGACAACAAGCCUUCCUCUUGGGAAGCUGUGAUGGCAGAGUGUGACCACAUUGCAAGCAGGCUCUCCAUUGAUCCUGAGGUAUCGCGAUCUGUGGAGGCUGACACAAAAGACCAGGCAGUUUCAACGACCUGGUUCGCCUUCCGGGCAGGGAGAGUGACUGCAUUAAACGCUAGGUCAGCUUGCUUCACACCAAUUAGCAUGCAGUCACUGAGUCUUGUAAAAAAAUGUGCUAUCCCACCGAGCACAAAUUCUCUACCCCUGCGACAAGAUGGGGAAUGGAGAAGGAACCAAUCGCAAGAGUACGCUACACCAGAGACGCCCCCAAUAAAUCUGGGCUCCAUAUCUCCCCAGAACAUCCCUAGCUUGCAGCAACCCCUGAUGGACUAAGUGUAGCUGCUGUGGGGAAGGGCUGCUGAAAAUAAAAUGCCCAUUUAGCUGCAAGUGCCUGCAAGAAGUGACGGCACGGAAGGACGGCUGCUUGCAAAUCGUAUCUGGGAGAAUAGAACUGAAGACAACCCACACUUUCUUCUAUCAAGUGCAGAUGCAGCUAAUGGUCUGCCAGACGCAGUUCUGUGAUUUCGUUUUGUGGACCACUGGUGGCAUGCACACGGAGAGGGUGCACCUCGGCGAGGACUUUUGCGACAUAAUGACAGGAAAGUGCUAGGCGUUUUUCUUGCAAGCACUGCUGCCGGAGCUGCGGUUCAGGUACUGGACCGAAGCUGCAGCCAGCACCCCUCUGGGAGGCUAUGCUGUUUGCCACUGUGGUCACCCUGAGGAAGGGCGCACAGACUGUACAGGCCGCUUGUUUCACUUCAAAUGCACUGGACUGAAGCGCGUUUCAAAAACAAUACCUUGGUUUUGUAAGAGCUGUUCUGGUUAAGUGCAUGUUU